AGAGUGAACGCUGGCGGUAGGCCUAACACAUGCAAGUCGAACGGCAGCACGGUAAGAGCUUGCUCUUAUGGGUGGCGAGUGGCGGACGGGUGAGGAAUACAUCGGAAUCUACCUUUUGGUGGGGGAUAACGUAGGGAAACUUACGCUAAUACCGCAUACGCCCUUCGGGGGAAAGCCGGGGACCAGGCAAUGGCCUGGCGCUGAUAGAUGAGCCGAUGUCGGAUUAGCUAGUUGGUGAGGUAAUGGCUCACCAAGGCGACGAUCCGUAGCUGGUCUGAGAGGAUGAUCAGCCACACUGGAACUGAGACACGGUCCAGACUCCUAU
rnacentral:rRNA from 1 species